rnacentral:rRNA from 1 species
AGAGUUUGAUCCUGGCUCAGGAUGAACGUUGGCGGCGUGCCUAAUACAUGCAAGUCGAACGCGCAGCGAAAGGUGCUUGCACCUUUCAAGCGAGUGGCGAACGGGUGAGGAACACGUGGAUAACCUGCCUCAAGGCUGGGGAUAACAUUUGGAAACAGAUGCUAAUACCGAAUAAAACUUAGUAUCGCAUGAUACAAAGUUGAAAGGCGCUACGGCGUCACCUAGAGAUGGGUCCGCGGUGCAUUAGUUAGUUGGUGGGGUAAAGGCCUACCAAGACAAUGAUGCAUAGCCGAGUUGAGAGACUGAUCGGCCACAUUGGGACUGAGACACGGCCCAAACUCCUACGGGAGGCUGCAGUAGGGAAUCUUCCACAAUGGGCGAAAGCCUGAUGGAGCAACGCCGCGUGUGUGAUGAAGGCUUUAGGGUCGUAAAGCACUGUUGUAUGGGAAGAAAUGCUAGAAUAGGGAAUGAUUCUAGUUCGACGGUACCAUACCAGAAAGGGACGGCUAAAUACGUGCCAGCAGCCGCGGUAAUACGUAUGUCCCGAGCGUUAUCCGGAUUUACUGGGCGUAAAGGGUGCGUAGGCGGUCUUUCAAGUCAGGAGUUAAAGGCUACGGCUCAACCGUAGUAAGCUCCUGAUACUGUCUGACUUGAGUGCAGGAGAGGAAAGCGGAAUUCCCAGUGUAGCGGUGAAAUGCGUAGAUAUUGGGAGGAACACCAGUAGCGAAGGCGGCUUUCUAGACUGUAACUGACGCUGAGGCACGAAAGCGUGGGGAGCAAACAGGAUUAGAUACCCUGGUAGUCCACGCUGUAAACGAUGA